rnacentral:rRNA from 1 species
GAUGAACGCUGGCGGCGUGCUUAACACAUGCAAGUCGAACGGUGAAGGCGGAGCUUGCUCUGCUGGAUCAGUGGCGAACGGGUGAGUAACACGUGAGCAAUCUGCCCCUGACUCUGGGAUAAGCGCUGGAAACGGCGUCUAAUACUGGAUACGAGCUGCGAAGGCAUCUUCAGCAGCUGGAAAGAAUUUCGGUCAGGGAUGAGCUCGCGGCCUAUCAGCUUGUUGGUGAGGUAAUGGCUUACCAAGGCGUCGACGGGUAGCCGGCCUGAGAGGGUGACCGGCCACACUGGGACUGAGACACGGCCCAGACUCCUACGGGAGGCAGCAGUGGGGAAUAUUGCACAAUGGGCGAAAGCCUGAUGCAGCAACGCCGCGUGAGGGACGACGGCCCUCGGGUUGUAAACCUCUUUUAGCAGGGAAGAAGCGAAAGUGACGGUACCUGCAGAAAAAGCGCCGGCUAACUACGUG